rnacentral:pre_miRNA from 1 species
CAAAUACUCCCUCCGUUCGGAAUUACUUGUCGCGGAAAUGGAUGUAUUUAGACAUAUUUUAGUUCUAGAUACAUCCAUAUUCGAGACAAGUAAUUUUGAACGGAGGGAGUACUCU